rnacentral:rRNA from 1 species
GACAGAGGUCCCAAGCGUUAGGCGGAAUCACUGGGCUUAAAGCGUGUGUAGGCGGAUUUGUAAGUACCUUGUGAAAUCCCACGGCUUAACCGUGGAACUGCUUGGUAUACUGCUUAUCUUGGGCCACUUAGGGGUUACCGGAACAAACGGUGGAGCGGUGAAAUGCGUAGAUAUCAUUUGGAACGCCAAUGGUGAAAACAGGUAGCUGGGGCUGUGCUGACGCUGAGGCGCGAAAGCUAGGGGAGCGAACGGG